NNNNNNNNNNNNNUCACACACACUCUCUCUCACACUCACACACACUCUCGCUCACACACUCUCUCGCUCUCACACUCACAAACACACUCUCUCUUGCUCACUCUCACACUCACACACACUCUCACUCUCACACUAUCACACACACAGUCACACACACUCUCACACUCACACACAUUCUCUCUCGCUCUCACACUCACACACACUCUCUCGCUCUCACACACACACACAGACACACACACUCUCUCGCUCUCACACUCACACACACACUCACACACACACUCUCACUCACACACACAGUCUCACACACACACUCUCUCUCUUGCUCUCACACUCUCACACACACAGUCACACACACACUCUCACACUCACACACACUUUCUCUCUCGCUCUCACACUCACACACACUCUCUCUCACUCACACACACACACUCACACACACACUCUCUCUCUCACACUCACACACACUCUCUCUCGCUCUCACACUCACACACACUCUCUCUCACUCACUCUCACACUCACACACACACUCUCUCUCACACUAUCACACACACACAGUCACACACACUCUCUCUCUUGCUCUCACACUCACGCACACAUACUCUCUCUCUCACUCUCACACUCACACACACAGACACACACUCUCUCUCACACUCACACACACUCUCACUCUCACACUCACACACACUCUCUCUCGCUCUCACACUCACACACACACUCUCUCUCACUCUCACACUCACACACACACUCUCUUGCUCACUCUCACACUCACACACACUCUCGCUCUCACACUCUCUCACACACACACUCUCACACACACUCUCUCUCUCACUCUCACACUCUCACACACACUCUCGCUCACUCUCACACUCACACACACACACAAGUGCUGAUGGAAAGCAGUGAGGCUGGAGGGAUCACUUUCUGAAAGCAUAAAGUUGAGCCUUUCCAACAGCAAUAUCUCCACUGGCUGUUUUACAUACUCUCUGCAACUCAAAAUUGAAGAACUGGAGAUUUUC
rnacentral:lncRNA from 13 species